AUGCNAGUCGAACGGUCCUUCGGGAUAGUGGCGGACGGGUGAGUAACACGUGGGAACGUACCCUUAGGUUCGGAACAACACAGGGAAACUUGUGCUAAUACCGGAUAAGCCCUUCGGGGGAAAGAUUUAUCGCCUUUGGAGCGGCCCGCGUCUGAUUAGCUUGUUGGUGAGGUAAUGGCUCACCAAGGCUACGAUCAGUAGCUGGUCUGAGAGGAUGGCCANCCACACUGGGACUGAGACACGGCCCAGACUCCUACGGGAGGCAGCAGUGGGGAAUCUUGCGCAAUGGGCGAAAGCCUGACGCAGCCAUGCCGCGUGGAUGAUGAAGGUCUUAUGAUUGUAAAAUCCUUUCACCGGGGACGAUAAUGACGGUACCCGGAGAAGAAGCCCCGGCUAACUUCGUGCCAGCAGCCGCGGUAAUACKAAGGGGGCUAGCGUUGCUCGGAAUUACUGGGCGUAAAGGGCGCGUAGGCGGACAGUUAAGUUGGGGGUGAAAGCCCGGGGCUCAACCUCGGAAAUGCCUUCAAUACUGGCUGUCUUGAGUACGGGAGAGGUGAGUGGAACUCCGAGUGUAGAGGUGAAAUUCGUAGAUAUUCGGAAGAACACCAGUGGCGAAGGCGACUCCAUCUGGCCCGUUACUGACGCUGAGGCGCGAAAGCGUGGGGAGCAAACAGGAUU
rnacentral:rRNA from 1 species